rnacentral:rRNA from 1 species
AUGAAGCUUCAGAAUUCUCUUUGUGAAUGCACCUAUGCGCACCUUGACACCCAUGUUGUAUCUUGUCUGAACCUUUCUUUUUGUCUGUCUGAUCUUGCUAAGAAAUCUGCAAUCACUUCAAGUCCAUUAUCCUGCUUUGACAAAAGUCUGAAACUAGUAGCAACAUGUUUAAGCUUCAGAUUUGAGAGUCAAGUCAGGAGUGUGCCAGAAACAUAUGGAGGAGACAAGUGUCAAACAACAAUCACCCUUGUCCAAGAAAUUCCAUGGAGAAAAUUUCGAGUAGUUACCAGUUGCAACCUACUCCCUCUGUCUCAUAAUGUAAGACAUUUUUUGACACUACACUAG